GCAUUAAGUUGCCAUACGGUUUAUGUAAAGUCUACAAAAUCCACAUUUCAGUGUUUCGUUGUUUAAAAGGGGGUCGUCGGCUGUGAUGUGACCAAUAAUUGAUUACAUCACAUGGGCAGGAAAUCCUGUUUGCACUUCCUUUUUCCAUGGACACGGAUCAUGACGAGAUGGUCAUGAUCUGAGGGAUCAGUUGACUAAUUGUUUAACAAUGUAAUGUUUUUUUAACCAAAACCAGUCAAGAACUUAUACGUUAUUUGUUAAAUUAAUUUGAUGCCAUAUGGUAACCAUAUGUAAAUAUGCAGUACAUUUUGUAACUGUACCGUUUAUCUGGAUUAUACAUUACACCAUCGGUGGAAAGUAAAGAGGGUGCCAGAGGCCUGGUGCCACCUGAUCCGGUCAGAAGGGACGACACAGACUACUGGACCUGUAUAUCCUACAUCUCAUCAGAGGACUAAGAAACAGAAGUGGAACAUGGAGCAAAAAUCGAACAAAAUAAUAUACACUUUUAUACACAUUUACACUCGUUGUUUUUGUAUUCUUUUUUUUUUUUUUUUACAGUUUUUAUGAACAAAAUAAGAACAUUUGAGUCCUAGAACGCAAUAAUAUGCUGCAAAUACCAGUGUCAACUUUUAAUUAUAUUCUUCUUUAUGGAGUGUCAAGCAGUCCAGCUCUUUCCCAGGUCCACCAGCUCCAUGCCUUCACAGUAGGACCGUGGCCUCGACACCCUCACCUGGUUUCACAGGGAAACGACACGUCAUGAAACCAGAUAUACAUAUGCAUACAUAUAUUUAUGUUUCUCUCUCACUCACACAGUCAAACACUCACUGUGGGUGUCCUGUGGGAGGCCAGUUGCUGCAGAAGUGGGAAUGGAGUCCACUGAAUGGGUUCCACGGGCCAGCUACAGACUGAAAGGUCACUGGCCUUCCCCGAGUCCAACACCCCAUCCCCCAUGCUCAUCUCGCUUCCCCUCCAACCGUACUGAGAGCUACGGGGAAUACAGAGACAAGGGAUUAUUGACAUCCUUUAUAUAUUAUUUAAUGUAAAAAAUGUAAAUGUAUGUCUGAAAGUAUUGUCCAAAGAAAUGUGGGGAAACUAUAAGCAGUAAAAGCUUAAGAAAAAGAUUAGCAAAGGGACGGAAAUGUAGUUUUAUUAAUUGAUAUUGGGUUUACGUGAUUUAUUUACUUAAUUACGUAUUGUUAUGUUUAGGCCUUUUUUUAGCAUCUUUCAUCUUAUUGUUUCUGUUUUACGACCCACAACUUUAAUCUUUUGGCUUUCAGUCUGUCAUCUGUUUUCAGAAAAAAGCUCUGAUAAACCACUGUGCACUACCUACUCUAAGAGACAGGUAGUGAGCAACUAGCUGAUGAACAUUUGAAUCUGCUGCCCCCGACUGGCAGCUUUAAAAGUAUGCCUUUUUGUUUUCUUUUUAAAGCUGCAGCGUGUAAGAUUUAGUGGCAUCUAGUGAUGAGGUUGCAGGUUUCAAUCCCCACCUUUCCUUUUCAAAGCUUCCCAAGAACAAAAGUAGCCUUCAGGUAACGUAAAAAAAUCUAAAAUCCUCCUGCUAGUGUCAGUUUCUUUCCUUUCUGAGCUGCUGAAGAGUAUGUGUGUGUGUGUGUGUGUGUGUGUGUGUGUGUACCUGUGUGGGUAGAUUGUGUUGAUGCGAGCCCCGUGACUCGGGCAGGUGGAGGCCAGCGACAGUGUGUCGUCGUGGUAACAGCAUGGGCGGUCGAGCGCCCGCAGGUGCAGCAACUCAUCGGAGCGCGUAAAGGCCGGAUUGUCUAGCGAGUCUGCUGAUCCUGCCCACGAACGCAACCAGAACCGUCCUGACAGCUCAUCAAAAUGGUCGAUCCACAAGAUCACGCCUUGUUACAGAAACACAGGCCGAAACGCUGUGAGCUGUAAGAGCACACUGUACCUGCUCCGAGUCUGAUCCACUUUGGCCUGGAUCAGAAUGGCUCGGUAGCGUCGCACUGCAACAAGGGCCAAAACGCCAAUCACCGUCACCAUGAUCAGGAGGAUGGCAAGACACCCGCCCGCGAGCCGCGCUCGAGUCAUCCUCACGUCACACCUCUGACCCAUGUACCAGAAGUCCUCUCCUACGAGGCAUCUGAAAACACAGACGAGAAGACGCUUGCAAUGCACAGAACCUCCUCGGAUGGAUGGAGAGGUACGAACUCAGUGUCUGUAUCGAGGCCUCCGUUCUGGUCUUACCGGCAAACCGGGAGCUGGCCCGGGUGGUGAGUACAGAUGCCGUGGUGGUGGCAGUAGUCAAAGUUGCAGACGGAAGAGCAGCUAUAGUUUGAAGUGGCAGGAUUAAACACACACUUGUAGCCCGCUGGACACUGCAGCAACCAGUCGCACACAUCACCCUGCAGACCUGGAGGGAAGGUGUGUUGAAGGGUGAGGCUGGUUGUUAUUCUACAUUUUGAUUAUUGCCAACAAAUCCCAUGAAGAAAAAAAACAACAACAUUGCGUUAGUCAGCGUCAGUACUUCCCUAUACCGUCUGUGGCACUCACUCCUUAAGACCAUUACAGUACCCACUGAACAGCUACAUCUUUAAAAAAGAGAUAUUUGGUUUAAUUGUUUAAAAGGAAAAGCAAUGUCCACAAUCUGGUGGGCAGUUUUUAGCAAAUGCAACGAACAGGAGUAAAUAGAGCAUUUGUUGAGCACAUGUUCAGCUGUGGAUUAUUAGAUUUUAAAUAAUCUAUAGUGGUCCUGCUCAUCACGCUCUUCUAAUUGAGUGAUUAUGUUUACAUGCAGAGUUGGCCCUCUGUAAAUAAGUAUCCCUGUUGCCCCAAAUAAUCUGCCAGCAAAGACAAAUGCAAGUUGUCCAACAGGAAACAUGCAGCUAGGGAACAUGAGUCAUUGUGAAUUUGCGUAAAUGGCAAAAAACAAAAGCGAAAGCAAGCACAGUAAGACGAUCACAUACCACGGUAACAAGUUUAAUAUCAGUCAUCAUAAUCAGAUUUACGAUAACUGGAUUGGGAGUUUAACCCAGUCAAUCUAAACUGCGUGAUGUUGUUCACGUGAGUCUGCCGGUAACUUUGUUAAUUAGGUAAGCAGGUUAAGAAUGGAAUUCCCACCGAGGACAUUUUGAACAAGGGUCUGAAAAACGUUGAUGUCCGUUCCCUAAACGCCAGCCACUCUUUGAUGCAGUUUGAAAUUGGACACAUGUUGCCUUACUUGACGGUGAAGCUGCAUAAAAUAUUCCCAUAAAUGUCACCAAUUUGUGACAAAUGUGACCAAGCAGAGGCAGAUUUACUUCGUAGCUAUGCGUUCGAAACGUUUUCUCUUGUUCUGGAAGAAGGAAGAUGAGCCAACUUUCUAAUCCUGGAUAACAACACUGACUAAUAGACUCCACCAGAAUCUUGAGAUAUCCUUAAUUAUAGACUGGAGGAAUCUGAAAGCAUUCUGAGACCUAAUAUCUCCUCUCUAGAAGGGACAGACAGCUAAAAUACACUGCACAAGCAGUAGUGUUUAUCACCCGUGGGCAUCGCAACCUUGGCUUACCUCCCAGUGUGAUGUUGGUGAUCUUGGAUGAUCUGAAGCUCCUCCCCUCGCACAGAGCCCGAGCUAGUCCUGUUCGUUCCAACAGUGACGCGGGUCCAGUCAUGCCGAGCCACUGCAGAGCCCCGCUGGUUCUGAACUCCACCAGACUCUGCACUGCAUGGCCACUGAAACAGCAGCACAUCCACUUGCUGUCGCUCUCCUCACACAACCUUCUGCAGCCGUUUGUGCCUCUCAAGUGUCCCACUGUAUUCCAGUCACAGAGCUAACUAAGUAUCUUGUUUCACCUGACCAUCUAUUGCAUAGUAGAGGUAUAUUGGAGUUAUGUCUCCCUCUGUGUGGUUUCCGGUUUCCCCCUCAGAUAAACACUGUUAGCACUUUUGCUGUAGUUUGCACUGUUAACGCUGUUAGCAUCGGCUCAGUGGAGCAUUAAGCGGCUAAAGAGCCAAAUACUUCCCGUCUCAGGAGUUAUAGGAGACCACAAAAGAGCUAAAAGGAAGAACGGACAUCUGAUUUACAUUUGUCACUUGGCCAGAAACACGACUUCAAAUGAAGGAUAACGUAGUUCCAUGUCUGCUGGGCGUGUUAAUAUGCAACCGUUUGACAAAUAACAACUUGUAAGUGUGUAAAGAUGUCCACGUUGUGUCUAAAACCUGUGACUUGACGUAAUUGGUAAUAGAUGAGUGGCACAAAAUGGGGCUAAAUGCAGCUUAGCUCCAGUCUAAAUGUACUCUAUAAAGACCUCACCUGCUCCAGACUCCCAGCAGCCUGCUGAACCCUGGGGCUCUCUGAAGGUACGGCUCCACCUGAAAGAAACAUGGAAUGAGGACUUUGUAGCAGCCACCAAGUCAAACUAAAGCUAUUGUGUAAUCACAUGCUUUGUCGGUGCUUUUCUGCAUGCCAGUGUGUGUGUGUGUACAUGAUACCCAGGCAGCGGUGUCUUCCUCCAAACCAGAAGUAAAAGCCGAUCUGGACUCUUCCACAACGAUCUGCAGCAGCAGCUCAAUUGACUCCACUGGACAAAACAGGGAAAAUAAAUCCAUUACAACAAGUCCGGACGGAAGAGGGAGAGUUUCCCUAUCGGCUCUCCCAGCCACAGUGAGUCCCUGCAGGGGUGAAGUGGGGCGGAGCGGCCCCUGGUCCUGAGAGGAGGGACUAGACGCAGACCGAGGCCCAGAGCUCCCCUCCAGACCUUCAAAGAGGCGACCUCUGCCCCCGUCUGUCCUCCUCACCACGUCUUGACCAACAGAAGCGCCGCUUGUAAAGCUGGUUCCUGUCCAAGACCGACGCAGGAGAUCUGAAUGUGGACUGGUGUGGUCCUCCGAGGAAUUCCUCUCAUCUUCCUGGACUGCAUGACCAGGAACAAACACAACAAAAAAAAAAAAAAACAGAGGGGGAGAGGGUGAGGAGGGGCACGAGUGGAAAUCACCACAACAUACCAUAUCUGUUUCUCACAACACAGAUCACAAGAACUUUCCGAUGGACUCUCUGCACUGUUUUAACAAUACUUUUCCAGUUUCACAUCGUACAUCCAAAGUAACCAUAAUAUUAUUUUACUGUAAAAAAAAAAAAAGAAAAGAAAAGAAACGUACAUAUAUUCAUUGAGACAACAAAAUAAGCAUCUCUAAAUGUUAUUUCCACAAUUGUAUCAGACUCUUAUGAUCAGGGUGCAGGAAAGUGGGCCAUCCUGACUCAAUAAAUGAAACUAGUUCAUUGAGUAAUGGUUUCUCACCAUAAUAGGACAGCUGCAUUUCAUUCGAGGAGCGGCCUGCUCCUGUCCAAGUGAAGGUGGCUUUGUCGCCAUCACAGUGGGCGAGCAGAGUCGUCCCCCCGCUCUCCGGGACCCGAUUUUCCUCGUUCGAAACACAGCGCACUUUUACGCUUGAACCACCGUCCAACCACACAAACUUUAAAAGUACCGCCCGACCCAGAGGAACACCUAUCGUCCAGGUGCAAAGUGAAACCGUUGGGGUUCUGUCAGACUGGUGCUUCAUGGGGUCGGGGGUGUUGUUGGCGUCAGUAGAGAGUCCCGGUAAAGUGAGAGUGAUGUGACCAGCUGGCUGUUGGCCCAGGCUGACAUCUCCACCACAGUGGUGGUGCAGCGAGGCCAAUGUUUUAUCUGAGGAAAGAGGGGAACAAAAGAUGCUGGGAAAAAAAGAGGGGUUCACUCCUGACUCCUGUGAUGUUGCAGUGAAAACUGAUUUACAAAUAAUAAUAAAAAAGUAUGAUGGACACGAAUUGUGUCCAGUUCAACCAAA